AUUGAACGCUGGCGGCAGGCUUAACACAUGCAAGUCGAGCGGGGUGAUGGUGCUUGCACUAUCACUUAGCGGCGGACGGGUGGGUAAUGCUUAGGAAUCUGCCUAUUAGUGGGGGACAACAUCUCGAAAGGGAUGCUAAUACCGCAUACGUCCUACGGGAGAAAGCAGGGGAUCACUUGUGACCUUGCGCUAAUAGAUGAGCCUAAGUCGGAUUAGCUAGUUGGUGGGGUAAAGGCCUACCAAGGCGACGAUCUGUAGCGGGUCUGAGAGGAUGAUCCGCCACACUGGGACGGAGACACGGCCCAGACUCCUACGGGAGGCAGCAGUGGGGAAUAUUGGACAAUGGGGGGAACCCUGAUCCAGCCAUGCCGCGUGUGUGAAGAAGGCCUUAUGGUUGUAAAGCACUUUAAGCGAGGAGGAGGCUCUUUUGGUUAAUACCCAAGAUGAGUGGACGUUACUCGCAGAAUAAGCACCGGCUAACUCUGUGCCAGCAGCCGCCGUAA
rnacentral:rRNA from 1 species